rnacentral:hammerhead_ribozyme from 10 species
AACUGGUCUUCAUUUGGAGCCAAUCACCUGACGAGCCUAAGGCAGGGCAAAACCAGUU